rnacentral:rRNA from 1 species
UCGGACUGUAGUCUGCAACCCGACUACACGAAGCUGGAAUCGCUAGUAAUCGCGGAUCAGAAUGCCGCGGUGAAUACGUUCCCGGGUCUUGUACACACCGCCGUCACACCAUGGGAGUCAGUAACGCCCGAAGUCAGUGACCUAACCGAAAGGGGGGAGCUGCCGAAGGCGGGACGGAUGACUGGGGUGAAGUCGUAACAAGGUACC